UACGUAGGAUGCAAGCGUUGUUCGGAAUUACUGGGCGUAAAGAGUGCGUAGGCGGUGUUCCAAGUCUGGUGUGAAAUCUCCCGGCUCAACUGGAGGUGCGCCGGAAACUGGGAUGCUGGAGUAUGGGAGAGGUAAGCGGAAUUCCUGGUGUAGCGGUGAAAUGCGUAGAUAUCAGGAGGAACACCUGCGGUGUAGACGGCUUACUGGACCAUGACUGACGGCUGAGGCACGAAAGCGUGGGGAGCAAACAGG
rnacentral:rRNA from 1 species